CAUGGAGUAGUUUAAUAAAAAUCCCACUUUUGGGGAGCGGUGAUCUUCAUUUAUGAAGCUCCUUGA
rnacentral:tRNA from 1 species